GACGAACGCUGGCGGCGUGCUUAACACAUGCAAGUCGAACGGUAAGGCCCUUCGGGGUACACGAGUGGCGAACGGGUGAGUAACACGUGGGUGAUCUGCCCUGCACUUCGGGAUAAGCCUGGGAAACUGGGUCUAAUACCGGAUAGGACCACUGCCUGCAGGGGUGGUGGUGGAAAGCUUUUUCGGUGUGGGAUGGGCCCGCGGCCCAUCAGCUUGUUGGUGGGGUGAUGGCCUACCAAGGCGACGACGGGUAGCCGGCCUGAGAGGGUGAACGGCCACACUGGGACUGAGAUACGGCCCAGACUCCUACGGGAGGCAGCAGUGGGGAAUAUUGCACAAUGGGCGCAAGCCUGAUGAAGCGACGCCGCGUGAGGGAUGACGGCCUUCGGGUUGUAAACCUCUUUCAGCACCGACGAAGCGCAAGUGACGGUAGGUGCAGAAGAAGGACCGGCCAACUACAUGCCAGCAGCCGCGGUAA
rnacentral:rRNA from 1 species